UUCCCUUAGUUUAUUCUUAAUCUGCUACAAAAAUUGAGUAUUUAAGUAAGGGUACCAGUGUUCUUCUAGGUCAGUCAAUCUAAGGUAACAACAUCAACAUGGGUAAAGUUUCAAUUAUUACAACUAUCGUUAUUGUUGCCCUGGUAAUUCUGGUGGACAAAGCAGUUUCUCAAAUUGAAAUCCUCGUACCAGGUGUAAUUGGAGUAACUCUUUUACCAAGAGAAGGGAAUUAAAUUUAAAAAGAGGCUGGGAUGCGACCCACACUGAUAACUUCCCAUCCCGUCUGUCGAUUUGUCUUGCUUUAUAAGUUUGUCUAUAUGUACUCGUAUCAAUUUUUACCAAAUUUGCGUACCAUUUUUUGUAGAUUUUAUUUUUUAUGAAAAAACGGACUGUUGGAUUUUUAUAUAAAAAUUACUGAAUAUCGAAAACAAUAUUUUCUGUGAAAUGAAAAAAGUUUGAAGCCAAUAUUUUUAAUUUUUGAAAAGCUAUUUGAGUCGAAAGUAAAUUUUUACCAACUUUUAUACA